rfam:Thielaviopsis punctulata NODE_37, whole genome shotgun sequence.
UUUGGUAUUUUCUCUACCUAACACUAUUUACACAUGCAAUAAAGUAAUGAGUUGUAUGAAGCUGUAAAGACAAUGUAGCCAGGGACUAUCACACCCAAUAUUAAUACUUAGGUAUUACUAGGAGCUAGUGUAAGUAA